ensembl:snRNA U4 U4 spliceosomal RNA
AGCUUUGCACAGUGACAGUAUCGUAGCCAAUGAGGUUUAUCCGAGGCAUGAUUAUUGCUAAUCAGCUUAAUCAGAAACUUUGGAAAAUUGUAAAGCACUAUAGAAUUUAAAGAAUUUUUCAUUCAAUAAAAAAAAAUU